rnacentral:rRNA from 1 species
UUAUUUUACGGCCGCAGUAUCUUGACCGCGCAAAGGUAGCAUAAUCAAUUGUCCUUUAAAUAGGGACUAGUAUGAACGGCACCACGAGGGUUUAACUGUCUCCCCCCCUUAAUUAAUGAAAUUUAUCCUCCCGUGAAGAAGCGGGAAUACUACUAUAAGACGAGAAGACCCUAUGGAGCUUUAAACUUAUUACCAUUUAUUUUAUAAAAUAACAAAUCAUUUAAUAUUAAUGUUCUCUAAUAGUUUUCGGUUGGGGCGACCCUGGAGAAAAACAAAUCCUCCAGAUUGAA